CCUUGAUAACAGAAUCACGGUAUUUCAGUAACUAGAAAGGACACUGUCGUGAAUGGGAAUGGCCAUAAAGACUGUUUAACUGCCUAAAGGAAUGGAGUUGAAUUUAGAGAGUGUUUCACAUAUGGAGGAAAAUCUAUCUCUCUCCAUCUGGAGUGCAGAGACCACAUCAAAGUAGACUGGACAUGCCAAGCUGCCGUUAGUGGUCAUGCAUCCAGAAGAUCCCAAUUUUGCCCAAGUACACAAUUCUUGGG